CCUUGAAUCCCUGGGAUGAAGCCUACUUGAUCAAGAUGGAUAAGCUUACUGCGCUUAACGUAUGUUUUUGUUUAACUUGUGGACAAAGACUUAUGGAUAGGUGCAAAAAAUAAAUCCUCUUUUGCAACCCAGAACUCAUUGUUCAGUAUGAGUUCUGAUACAUAUAAGAAGGGAUAUUAUGAUGGGAGUAUUGAUAGCCAUAAAGGUUGGUUCCAGGCCAGGUGCAGUGGCUCAAGUUUGGAAUCCCCACACCGAGGUGGGAGUAUUGCUUAAAGCCAGGAGUUCAAGACCAGCCUGAGCAAGAAAGUAACAAACACCUCAUCUCCACAAAAAUGUAAAAAUUAGCUGGGUAUUGGGGCAUGUAUCUGUACUUGCAGCUACUCAGGAAGGGGAGGCUGAGGCACAAGGAUUGAGCUCAGGAGUUGGAGGCUGAACUGAGCUUGGACUGUACUCCGGCCUUGGUAACAAAGACAGACCCUGUCUCUUAAUUUAGAAAGAUUGAUUCUCGGACUGUAGAAUAGUUAAACAUGAGGGGAUAUGAGGGAAAUCCUCAGCAGUAUUACUUUGCAUUCCAAUUUCACGUUGAUAUCUAAGAUGGCUUUUUGUUUUAAAGGCUUUUAUCUUGAGAACAUGAUGUCUGGAGUUAAAGGAAUGAAUAUGAUUUGAACUCAUUCAUGUUGAAAGGGUGUCAAAUUGGAACCAGGCAGAUCCACCACCUACAAUAAAAAGUUCAACUUCUAGGACCCUAAAGUAAAUUGGUUAAAGAAAGUAGAUCCCAAAGAUUCUUGGUGAAUUUUGAAGUCUUCAUCAGUAUAUCCGUAUUAAAAGGAGAUGACAGAAGCCAAAAUAAAUUAAUGGGCUGACAGGACAACUGGAUUAAAGUAAGCAUCAGCUUCAUUAAAAAGGGCUAACUUGCAGCUCUUUAGAGGAUCUGAAGUGACUUUGAUGGACAGUGGAAGAAAUCACAACAUGGAAUUCCUUGAAUAAAAAUUUAUUGACUUUAAAUAUA